rnacentral:lncRNA from 1 species
GCAUUAAAGUUAAGAGAGGCAUAGAAAUACAAAAGACAAAUAUGUAUAAUGAUAAAAAUGAAAUAAAAAAGAAAAGAAAUGACCUCAAAGUAGCUGGUGUAGAACCAUAAAAUUGGAACACGAAUCAAAUUUAGGACAUCAUACGGAAACCACUAAUGGAAGUCUUCGACAGACCAGAUUUGGAAGUGCUUUUCCGAUGCUGCUGGACUGAUUUUAUCAGCACUUUAGCCGCCGAUUUUUUCAGCUAAUUUUUGUCGUUUGCUGACUGACUUUCAGCUGCAACUGGCAGCGGUUUUGGAGGUAAACAGAGGUGUUUGUUUACUGAUUUUGGGACUGUUUUUAGAUGGUUUUGUAGUUGUUUUUGAGGUGAAGUCGCCGCUUCUUUUUUACUGGAAUUGAGGUGGUUUAAUGGCGGUUUUUGGUGGAAGAAGAUGGAUGGUUUAUGGCUGAAAAUUAUGGAAGAGUAGUUGGUCUUUAAUGGCUUUUACAUUGCUGGAGUUUCAGCAACCAUGAAAAUUGUGGUUGCUUUUUCUUUUGUCUAAGAGAGUAUGAUGGAGGUCUCUCUUUUUGGGAUAUGCUGCUGCUUCUUGUUUUUGUCUAGGUC